rnacentral:rRNA from 1 species
UACGGAGGGUGCGAGCGUUGUCCGGAAUCACUGGGCGUAAAGGGCGCGUAGGCGGCGCGGAUAGUCGGCGGUGAAAGCCCGGAGCUCAACUCCGGGUCGGCCGUCGAUACUUCCGGGCUUGAGCACUGUAGAGGCAGAUGGAAUUCCACGUGUAGCGGUGAAAUGCGUAGAGAUGUGGAGGAACACCGAUGGCGAAGGCAGCCUUCUGGGCCAACACUGACGCUCAUGCACGAAAGCGUGGGGAGCAAACAGG